ACGCUCGACACCUACGGAGGCAGCAGUGGGGAAUAUUGCACAAUGGGGGAAACCCUGAUGCAGCGACGCCGCGUGGAGGAAGAAGGUCUUCGGAUUGUAAACUCCUGUUGUUGGGGAAAAAGAGGAUGGUACCCAACAAGGAAGUGACGGCUAACUACGUGCAGCAGCCGCGGUAAUCUGAGCGGGCUGGCAAGGC
rnacentral:rRNA from 1 species